UUAUAUAAUUAAUUUUGCUAGGUGUAAAUCAAUUAAAGUGGGGGGGUAGAAUUGGUUGAAAGGAUUGCUUUACAACGUUAGAACUGGUUAGAAAAUUGUUUAGUAAUAUUUUAGUAAAAUGAUUGGUUAAGGUACAGCUAAGCAAGAUUCAAGUUUCACUAUAUAAACUGGGGUCCCAAAGGAAGUUCUUUGGAACCAACUCCAACACACAGCCCCAAGAUCAAAUUGCCAGACCUCAACACCCUGCCAACCGCACCGUGCAGAAGCUGGAGUUCCCCAGAUGACCUGAUCCUGAUUGGCCAUCAAGAAAAGUUCAUUUGCCUUCUUGGGAGUGGCUUGAGCCUGGAGUACAAAGUAUAAAAGGAGAGCUAUAAUUUUGGAUCUGAUAUCAAAAAUAAUUCCACAGUUUUGAUAACUCAUCGUGGACAUGAUUUUUGGCAUAUCAGCUACAAUCCAACUACAAUAUUUAUACACUUGUGGAGUGAGAGUUUCCUUCUCAGAGAAGAAGGAUGGCUCAGCGGUUGGUGCUAGUCUGAGACUUGGGAGCCCUAGAUUCAAUUCCCUACUCCUCAAUAGACUUCCUAUAUGACUUUGGGUGGUCUGUCUAGGAAAAAAAUCAACCCCCCAGAUUUUCACCAUAGUUCCCAUUUGGGCCCAUAAACAACAUGACCAGAAUGUCAGAAGAGCUCCAUACUCAACAUCUCCCAUUGUCCUCUUUCCUGGCAUGUGGGCAUGACAAAAUUUGGGCCAGUAUCUUAUCCUAGUUCCUUUCUCUUUCUGGAAUUAAGGAUUUGCUCUCUGUUGUAGCAGUGCACCCCGGAGUCAAUGAGAGCUGAAAGUGUUCAUCACCUUGUGGAAUUAAAUCCUUAGAAACUGACAUGGUUGAACCAGUAUAACAAAGAGCAUUAUUGGGCCCAUGAAGUGCACAUGUGAGCUACUGUGAGAUAUCGAGAAGCAAAAGACACAGGAGGAGAAGUUAUUGGAGACACUAAAUGAAAGCACUUGAAGUAGAAAUGGGUCUAAGCUGCAAAGUUACAAUCUAGAUAUGAACAUCCUCAAAGUUGCAAGAUCUGGACUGAAUUCAGAGUUAUAGGGUAUAUCUACAUUGCAGUGUAAACUCCGGGUUAGUGGGACUCAAGUUCGCUGAUGCUAGAUUUAUAAGCCCAGGGUUUGAGUGUCUACACUCAUUGGUGAUCCUAAGUUUAGAAUUUCUGGAUCCAUGCCCCAAACCCAGGUUCCAGAGCUUAUACUGCAUUACACAGACCUGAAUCAAAUCACCAUAUCCCAGUCUUCCUAAGCCUUCCCCAGCUGCAACCAUUCUAGCCCUUGGUUUAGGUACAGUAUGGAAAAACUGGACUGCCCACCCCACAUGUUACAGGAGAGUGUUCCAGCCCUCCAACACAUCCUGCCAGGUCAUUUUUUGGGUCUGCACACUCCCAGCAACCGGAGACAGCAACAUUAGGAGUCACCAUUUGAAGAGCUUCUCCUGCUUGGGCUUUCACUCCUGUUUCAGGAAACGGGCAGAGUAUCCAUGAGACAUGGAUCUGGAAAAAGGGAUAAACAGUGAGGUGGCAAAUUUGAGGAAGAUACAAAACUACUCAAGAUAGUUAAGUCCUAAGCAGACUCUGAAGAGCUACAAAACCGGAUAGUCCCUCCGCAAAAGAAUAAAUGGACACAAAUCGGACAUCAGGAAUCGUAACAUACAUAAGCCAGUAAGUGAACAAUCUCCCUGGUCAUUCUAUUACCGAUUUUAAAGUCACUAUCAUUGAACAA